rnacentral:rRNA from 1 species
GACGAACGCUGGCGGCGUGCUUAACACAUGCAAGUCGAACGGAAAGGCCCUGCUUUUGUGGGGUGCUCGAGUGGCGAACGGGUGAGUAACACGUGAGUAACCUGCCCUUGACUUUGGGAUAACUUCAGGAAACUGGGGCUAAUACCGGAUAGGAGCUCCUGCUGCAUGGUGGGGGUUGGAAAGUUUCGGCGGUUGGGGAUGGACUCGCGGCUUAUCAGCUUGUUGGUGGGGUAGUGGCUUACCAAGGCUUUGACGGGUAGCCGGCCUGAGAGGGUGACCGGCCACAUUGGGACUGGGAUAGGGCCCAGACUCCUACGGGAGGCAGCAGUGGGGAAUAUUGCACAAUGGGCGGAAGCCUGAGGCAGCAACGCCGCGUGCGGGAUGACGGCCUUCGGGUUGUAAACCGCUUUCGCAUGUGACGAAGCGUGAGUGACGGUAAUUGGUAAAGAAGCACCGGCUAACUACGUG